GCAAGCAGCUAUAUCAGCCAACAACUCAACAACCCACUGUAGCUUAGCAGGUGUGAGCCUGGCCAGUACCUGGAUGGAAGACCUCCUGGGAAAAACUAAGGUUGCUGCUGGGA
rnacentral:rRNA from 1 species